UACUAUUUCAUAAACUAUUAAAAUGUUUAAUAUGUAUGCAACUAAAUAGCUUUUAAAUAUUUAAAGAUCAUAUGUAAGUAAAUCUCUUAACAUGGGCAUUUAUCAUUGGAAACUUGGAGAUGUAGCGCUCGCUAGAGUUUGCCAAAAAGUUUACGCGAAAGUUCAAGUUGUAAAAGACGAAAAAGGCUUAUUUUAUGACUGGAAAGUUCUAGGCAUCACAGCCGACGAAAAUGGCAAUCUCUUGGUGACCAAAGAGCUCUGUUACUAUGCUGAAAUGUGUAGUACAAAACACAGGCUGUGGUUACCUUACACUUGUCUUCACCUCGCUGAGCGGUCCCGACCAUUUUAGGGAGUUAAUAAGGUUUCUCCGCCAAAACCAGUUGUAAAUAAACUUGGGAAUACUACAAGAAAGAGAAAACUAAAAGAAGACCACACAUUACCACUCAACAUUAAACCAAGCAACCGCGCCCCCGACCUUAACGUCACUUAUGACAAAACCCACACUCCUCUAAACACACACACCCCAGUCAAACAAGGUCGUUACCAGAACGCCUUUAACGAAUUUGUCCGUCAUGGAAAAGAGAUGUUAUUCGAUCAUUUUUACUUUCAACUAAAGAAUAAUUUCAAUGAAAAUGCGGAUUGCUUGGAUUACUUAAUGAAUGUUGAUGCAAGUACGGAAGAUAAGUUUGAGUUGGUUAUAAAGAAUAUUGUGACAAUUAAAGAGGUUGAGAAUUACUUGCAUCAGUGCUGGAGAUACAAUUUCGUUGCUAAAGCAGAGAGCAAAGAGUAUGAUAAUUCUAAUAAAACUCCACCGCCAAAGACAGCAAUAACACUGCACACUCCGUGGUGCCUCGUGUGCGGCGUUAGUGUCAGCAAGUUACGAGAAUGUGUCAACUGCCCAGCGUCCUACCACCUGGCUUGCCGGAGGGAGUGGCUGCUCACUCUCAUACACCGCAAAAACCCACCUAAAAAGGCGCAAAAGCAGGUGACCCUAGUGGAGAAGAUACUAUCCAGUACAAGAACUAUUUGCUCUGUGCAGAAAAAUAACAAUAAGGAGAACUUCGAUCUGUGCCCCAGUUGCAUGUGGGGACCUAAAGUCGGGUACGACGACGUGGUCUGGCACAAACUCGGCUCGUGUUCGUGGUGGCCCGCGAGGGUGUUGACCCCGGGCGCGACGCCAUCUUGUCUCCUCACUCGCUCGCACACCCCCCACCAGUGGCCGCUGAGGUAUUACGGUGCAGAAAAUUACUCGUGGGGGGACAGCGCCCGUAUGUGUUUGUUCCUGCCUAGCCACACGGGCGCCCUGGAAACCACCAGAGACCCAUUGUUGAAGCAAGGCAUCCUAGAUGCCUGCGAUGAUUACAUAGCUGUUUACUUAACAUAGUCGGUAUUUUAUUGGAGGUUAUACACCGUUUUGCUAAGAAACUUUUUUUUUAAUAAAGGAGAAACGACACGUUUAUUGUUGACCAUAUCUUUAGGUCCGCCACACGAUGUCCUUAUGUCAACUAUAAUUAUUUUAAAGCUUUUACGGACAAAUAACACUGAUUGAGUUAGCCUCGAAGUAAGUUCGAAACUUGUGUUACGAGAUACUAACUCAACGAUACUAUAUUUUAGAAUAAAUACUUACUAAGAUAAACAUCGAGAAAGUUCGUUUCUCAUCAUGCCCUGGCCGGGAUUCGAACUCGGGACCUCCGGUGAUACAGACAAGCGCACUACCGCUGCGCCACAGAAGCCGUCAAUGCUGUUUUUAACCUUUAAAAUAAUAAUAGUUGAUUUAACGUUGUUAUUUGAUCCUUUUACAAUGUAUAACAUAUCUAUUGCAAUUGCCAUGGUAGUAAAUACCGUUUUUAAAUUUAGUAUUAUUGAAAGUGUGAAAGCAAAGCUUUUAUUUUCUGAAAGAAGUUCAUAUUACGACAGCUCCAUUAAUUUUAUUUAAAAAAGCGGACGUGUUGAAAUAUACUUUUGAAGUGGUGAUAAUAUUGGAUAUAAUUAUUGCAAUUUUCAUGCCAAAAAUUAGUUUUUAACUAUUUUAGAAUUUACAUCUGUUUUUUUAUCAUGUUGACUUGUUUUAUCUUUGUUGUUUUAUUAAAAUAAAAUGUAGGUUUCGAUACUUAAAAAGAACUAUCACAUUUUUGUGUAGGUUUACAUUGAUAAAAUGUUUUGUUUAUAGAAUUUAGGUUUUUAUUUUUCUGUUCGAAAGAUGAUUGUUAUUUUGUUUAUGUUUUUGUUAUAUUUGUUAUUGUUUUAUCAUGUUCGAUAUUUUCGCAUGUUUUUUUUACCUAAAUGUCGGUUUAAUUUUUUUACUUAAGUUCUAAGAUAUUUUUAUUAAGAAAAGUUUUGUUACAGCCUGUAAGGCUACUAUAAUCAUAAUCUAGCAAGUUCCGUGUCACGUAUUACAACCACGAAUCGUUUAUUGCGAAAAUCAACAGAUAAAAUUUUCGACUUUGUAAUUAAUAUUAGCCGAUGUUAUCUUUCAUAUCUCCUAACAUAGAACAAGAGUACUUAAAAAAUGACUAGCCCCGCCUACUAAUCCACGCAUGGAGUUCGUGAAAAACUAUAUUAAAAUUCAAAAUCAUUGUAUUGUUUGUCUGUCAAACGUUUACCUAAUUAAUUUUUUAUCAAGUAUUUACACGCAACUGUGUCCGCGCGAAUUUAGCGCUUCCUACACGUGCCAAUAAAGCGCCACCCACAAAGAAUAUAGGUUUUUCGCAAAUACGACAAUAAACUUUUGUUUUUACAGGACUGAAAAGUACUCUUCUACAGACUUAAAUUUAAUUAAUCGAGACUCCGGAAUUAAAUAUUUCAAGAAGAUUGGUUCAGUAGAUAAAUCGUGAAGAGAAACAUACAAACGAAAACUUUCGCAUUUACAAUAUUAGUUGUGUUACAUAAAAUCACGCCUCUUUCCUCAUGGUUUGGGCAUAAACUUUUAUACAUAUUUAAUUGUUACAGAAAUAAAAUUUUAAGUACUUGCGUAAGUGUUAGUUCGCAAUUUUCGACAGGACUUUUCUGUUUCUCACCUAUCUAACAACAAAAAGAAAAGCUAGUUAGGACGGAUGUCAAAAAAAUUAUAAUUAUCAUUACUAUUUUUCAAGCGACACCGAAUUGCAAGAUAUAAAUUGUUAAAAACGUUUAAAAAUCGAUCAAUCAUUUUGACGGGACGUUAUCUGUGGAUUUAGA